rnacentral:rRNA from 1 species
UGACGGGUGACGGAGAAUUAGGGUUCGAUUCCGGAGAGGGAGCCUGAGAAACGGCUACCACAUCCAAGGAAGGCAGCAGGCGCGCAAAUUACCCCAAUCCUGACACAGGGAGGUAGUGACAAGAAAUAACAAUACCGGGCCUUUUCAGGUCUGGUAAUUGGAAUGAGUACAAUUUAAAUCCCUUAACGAGGAUCUACUGGAGGGCAAGUCUGGUGCCAGCAACCGCGGUAAUUCCAGCUCCAGAAGCGUAUAUUUAAAUUGUUGCUGUUAAAAAGCUCGUAGUUGGAUUUCUGGUGUGGUGCGGCUGGUCCGUCGCCGAUAGGCGGUCGAGUACUGGCGUUGCGCCUACCAUCCCUUCUGGAGAGGCCGACUGCACUUCAUUGUGUGGUUGGAACCACCGAUCCAGAUCGUUUACUUUGAAAAAAUUAGAGUGUUUAAAGCAGGCGUCAGCCACUGAAUACAUUAGCAUGGAAUAAUGAGAUAGGACUUUGGCCCUAUUUUGUUGGUUUCUAGGACUGAAGUAAUGAUUGAUAGGGACAGUUGGGGGUGCUAGUAUUUAACGGCCAGAGGUGAAAUUCUUGGAUUCGUUAAAGACUAACUAAUGCGAAAGCAUUCACCAAGGAUGUCUUCUUUAAUCAAGAACGAAAGUUGGGGGAUCGAAGACGAUCGGAUACCGUCGUAGUCUCAACCAUAAACUAUACCGACUAGGGAUCAGCGGACGUUGUUUUUUCGACUCCGUUGGCACCUUGUGAGAAAUCAAAGUCUUUGGGUUCAGGGGGGAGUAUGGUCGCAAGGCUGAAACUUAAAGGAAUUGACGGAAGGGCACACCAGAAGUGGAGCCUGCGGCUUA